UACGUAGGGGGCAAGCGUUGUCCGGAAUCAUUGGGCGUAAAGCGCGUGUAGGCGGCCAGGUAGGUCCGCUGUGAAAACUCGAGGCUCAACCUCGAGAUGUCGGCGGAAACCAUCUGGCUAGAGUCCGGAAGAGGAGAGUGGAAUUCCCGGUGUAGCGGUGAAAUGCGCAGAUAUCGGGAAGAACACCCGUGGCGAAGGCGGCUCUCUGGGACGGUACUGACGCUGAGACGCGAAAGCGCGGGGAGCGAACAGG
rnacentral:rRNA from 1 species